GACGAACGCUGGCGGCGUGCCUAAUACAUGCAAGUAGAACGCUGAAGGAGGAGCUUGCUUCUCUGGAUGAGUUGCGAACGGGUGAGUAACGCGUAGGUAACCUGCCUGGUAGCGGGGGAUAACUAUUGGAAACGAUAGCUAAUACCGCAUAAGAGUAGAUGUUGCAUGACAUUUGCUUAAAAGGUGCAAUUGCAUCACUACCAGAUGGACCUGCGUUGUAUUAGCUAGUUGGUGGGGUAACGGCUCACCAAGGCGACGAUACAUAGCCGACCUGGAAGGGGGGUCGGCCAAACUGGGACUGGAACACGGCCCAGACUCCUACGGGAGGCAGCAGUAGGGGAUCUUCGGCAAUGGACGGAAGUCUGACCGAGCAACGCCGCGGGAGUGAAGAAGGUUUUCGGAUCGUAAAGCUCUGUUGUAAGGGAAGAACGAGUGUGAGAGUGGAAAGUUCACACUGUGACGGUAUCUUACCAGAAAGGGACGGCUAACUACGUG
rnacentral:rRNA from 1 species